GACGAACGCUGGCGGCGUGCCUAAUACAUGCAAGUAGAACGCUGAAGGAGGAGCUUGCUCUUCUGGAUGAGUUGCGAACGGGUGAGUAACGCGUAGGUAACCUGCCUGGUAGCGGGGGAUAACUAUUGGAAACGAUAGCUAAUACCGCAUAACAGUAGAUGUUGCAUGACAUUUACUUAAAAGGUGCAAUUGCAUCACUACCAGAUGGACCUGCGUUGUAUUAGCUAGUUGGUGGGGUAACGGCUCACCAAGGCGACGAUACAUAGCCGACCUGAGAGGGUGAUCGGCCACACUGGGACUGAGACACGGUCCAGACUCCUACGGGAGGCAGCAGUAGGGAAUCUUCGGCAAUGGACGGAAGUCUGACCGAGCAACGCCGCGUGAGUGAAGAAGGUUUUCGGAUCGUAAAGCUCUGUUGUAAGAGAAGAACGAGUGUGAGAGCGGAAAGUUCACACUGUGACGGUAUCUUACCAGAAAGGGACGGCUAACUACGUG
rnacentral:rRNA from 1 species